rnacentral:rRNA from 1 species
UACGGGGGGGGCAAGCGUUGUUCGGAAUUACUGGGCGUAAAGCGUACGUAGGCGGUUACUCAAGUCAGAGGUGAAAGCCCGGGGCUCAACCCCGGAACUGCCUUUGAAACUAGGUAACUAGAAUCUUGGAGAGGUCAGUGGAAUUCCGAGUGUAGAGGUGAAAUUCGUAGAUAUUCGGAAGAACACCAGUGGCGAAGGCGACUGACUGGACAAGUAUUGACGCUGAGGUACGAAAGCGUGGGGAGCAAACAGG